rnacentral:rRNA from 1 species
UGUAGAGGCGACAGCACAUUGAAUACACCAGUUUCCGAUGGAUCACUAAAGUUAAGCAACGCUGUGCGUGGUUAGUAUCUGGAUGGGUGACCAUCUGGGCUAUCGCGUCCUGCUGGCU